UUGUGAAAUGGCCUGAAAAGAAUCCUAAAAUAUCUUGAUGUAAAGAUCAGACACUGGAAUGGUUGUGAAUUUAAUUUUGAUGUGUUUAAAGAAGUGAAUUUUAUCUCGUAAGUGUGGAGAGAAGGCAAGACGAUUGACUAUUAAGAUGGAUUGACAGCAUUUUGGACUCUAUAAUAUUACUCUGACUCUGGUUUAAGUUUAGUUUGACUCUUGUAAACUCAUGCAGCCUGUAUGCAAGCUAUGUGAUGACACAAUAAUAAAAACCUCAUCGUAUAUGCAGGUAUUUGGCAGGCGUUAACUUAAAACCCUGUGCAGGACCUUGAAGUCUUUAAAUAGCCUCGGUGUUAAAAAUCCUACUUCCUGUCCAGGCCCCAAGGAGGCGGGACUUAGACUCUUAACCUGUUGUGCCACACCUGAGCUGAUAAGAGGCCUGGAUCAGGCCCUGCUCCCUUUGUAUACUGCAUCAUGCUCAUCUUCAUGUGAUAUUGCCUGAAGUUCUAUGUCCUGAAGUCGACUGUGCAUCAGCUGAAUUAUUUCAAUUCCUAACAGAUCCUACCUUCCAUUUGGUGCUGUUUGAUGUACCUACCCCCGAGCAAGAGAAAUGUAUUGGAGCAAUAAGAAGUCAAAUCCUGACAGAGCAGCAACCAGGAUGAACAAUAACAGAUGUCCCCACAUUUUGGAUUGACAUCUGGAGCUGACCCCUGGCUAAUAAACACAAGUCUACAGCACAGU